AACCCUCUGGGAUCUCAAAUGACUCUACUCCUUUGGAUUCUCUUGGUCAUGAAGCCGAUCAAAGUUCUCCUAGGCUCUCUACCAGAAAAAGCAUACAUCCACCGCCUGCAUUUGGUUCAUCGCCUAAUCUUGAAGCCCUUGCACUUGCAGCAAGUAGAUCCGAAGAUGAUGAGGGUGAAAACUCUGUGCAUGCCAAUUCACUGUAUUCACGGCCCUUGCAUGAGAUAACUUUUUCCACGGAAGACAAGCCUAAACUCCUCUGCCAGUUGACUGCCUUGCUUGCUGAGCUCAGGCUGAACAUUCAAGAAGCACACGCUUUUUCUACAACCGAUGGCUUCUCACUUGAUGUCUUUGUUGUUGAUGGUUGGCCAUACGAGGUACUUCUUGCUUUUUCUUUUACAUCCUGAUA